rnacentral:rRNA from 1 species
AUUGAACGCUGGCGGCAUGCCUAACACAUGCAAGUCGAGCGAGCGGCGGACGGGUGAGUAAUGUCUGGGAAACUGCCUGAUGGAGGGGGAUAACUACUGGAAACGGUAGCUAAUACCGCAUACCAUCAGAUGUGCCCUUGUGGGAGUAGCUAGUAGGUGGGGUAACGGCUCACCUAGGCGACGAUCCCUAGCUGGUCUGAGAGGAAGACCGGCCACACUGGAACUGAGACACGGCCCAGACUCCUACGGGAGGCAGCAGUGGGGAAUAUUGCACAAUGGGCGAAAGCCUGAUGCAGCAACGCCGCGUGUGUGAAGAAGGCCUUCGGGUUGUAAAGUACUUUCAGCGGGGAGGCGUUACCCGCAGAAGAAGCACCGGCUAACUCCGUGCCAGCAGCCGCGGUAAUAC